CUUUACAAUGUUUAUCUUUUUAGAUCUCAUAAAUUUUUUUGAAGAUAGAGAUAGACACAGGGGCGAUUUAGAGUUGAUGUUCUUCCGCAGAGAUUCGUUUUUCAGAUCUGGAGAAACUAUUAUCGUCGAGAAAUUAUUAAUUCCUGAAUAAUGGAGCGACAUGGAUGUUGAUCACAUACCAGUUUGGUUUAUAGAUACGCUAUACUGUAGGACUUAGCUAAAAGUAUAACCAGGACAAGAUGAUAUGUUGCACAAUCAGAAGAAAGAGGAGAAACUUCGUACAACAUUCACAGUAACAGUGUGGCUCUCUUGUUCGGCGUAAUCUUAGUCAUGGGAAUAAGAGUGCAUCUCCUUGAAGGAUUCCUCCAUCUAGUGGUGAAAGCCCUGAUAGACGCAGUCAUGAAAGUCUUAGAAAAAUGAGAUGUUCUCAGCGUGAACCUGCUCGUUCUCAUAGCCCAUCACAACAGAAUUCUGAGACUAAUGAGAUGUGGUUUUCCGCAGUGAAGGAAAUAUGUGUUUGGUUUGAUUAGAAUUUAUGCCUGCUCGAGUCUGAAAGAAGAUGGUGUUAUUGAGAUUUCGAGGGUGUUAGAACUGUUGAUUUGAUGAAUAUAUAUGAGAUGGAGACAAUACUGUUACUUUGUGUGAUUUAGAGUAUCCGGUGACUAAGCUGAUAACGAAAUGAAGAAGCGUUGUGUAUUGUUGCUGGUUGAGAAAUUACAGGGUAUGGAUGAGCUGCAUCUGGCUAUGAAGCAAUUGCAGGUGAUGUUAUGAGCUGGAAGAAUGGGCUUGCUGCAAUGUUGCAGUACAAGGAAUGGUGCAGUUGAGUAACUGGUGCUAUUGAGAUGGUAGAACUCUGAAUUGGUGAUAUAGUGUAUAAAUAUAAAAUAUCGAUGGAAUUGCAAAGAUGAAAUCUGAAAUGUGUGUUGGUGGUAUUGAGGAGAAGAAUUUAUGUUGUUGUUGGAUGGGUAGUGUUACUGCAGAGAAGUGCAUCUAAGAUUGGAAAGCUACAGAAACGGAUAAAAAAUUUGUGUUGAGUGGUUGAGGUGUUGUAGUUGUUUGCAGCAGCAGGGUUAAGAGUGGUUGAGCGUUGGAGCUGGUGUUGGUACUUGUUAAUGAGUUUCGGUUGUAAACAUGUUGUAUUUUGUAGAUGUGUACAUGUUUGUACACCAAUGUACAUGAAGUUUUUUAAAAAAUGUGAAUUAUAUAGUCAUAUGGGUACUCUUUUUGUAGUUCUAGGAAAGAGCUUUCCGAAUAUAUAAAAUUUGCGAAUUUUGGAUAAA